rnacentral:lncRNA from 10 species
UUUUUAGAUGGUUUUUCACUCUGUUGUCCAGGCUGGCACGACCUCGGCUCACUGCAACCUCCACCUCCAGGGUACAAGCGAUUCUCCUGCCUCAGCCUCUGGAGUAGCUGGGAUUACAGGAAUGAGGAGAGAUGGCCUUGGUGGUCCUCCUUAGGUUGGCAACAUCCAGAUGCAAUUGUUCACAUACCAGCUUCUCAUAGCGCUACCAAAAGUCUUCAACUCUUGUGGUAAUUGGGCCUCUCAUGCCAAGAACCAGGAAGAGGCACAAAAUUCCUCACUGAGAUACGGUGUGUUCUACUUCCAUGACUUCCACACACCAUUCUUAGAAAUAGGAGGUGAGCAUGAACAGAAGGAAAAGGAAAAAUAUCAUUCAUGUCUGACCUACAUUGUUUGCAAUAAGAGUAAAAUUAGUCUCAUCUGACAGUGAAAUUAUUGCAUGAUUCUUAAGAUUGUAAUAGUCUUUAUAAAUUUAUCUUGAUGAUUUAAAAUAACAAAAUUAAAUGUGCAUAAAAUAUUAUGUUAAUAUAGACCAACUCAUUUAUUUCUCAUGAAAUCUGAU